ACGUGCAAAUGUUGAUAGAAAUCAAUCUAAAUAAUUCAGUUGUUGCCAUAUAAUUGCUGCAAUUAUAUGUGUAGCAUGAAGAGAACGCAAGCGUAUAAUUUGCAAAAUAUAUUCUAAAGAUAGUAAGUGAGCUUUCAUAAUUAUUUACUACAUUGUCACUGUUAUACUCGAACAAAAAAGAAAAGCAAUGGAGAGAUUAUUGAAACUUGUAAAGUGGGUUCCGAAUAACAUUCGUGAAAGUAUUUAUCCUCUGAUUUUCAUAAACUGGCUGUCAAUCUUUGGCUUCAGUGGAUACCCCUUAGGCGGUACGAAAUAUAAUAAAUUCCGUUCCAUUCCGGUGAUAAUAUUUUUAGGUAUUCUUUGUUUGAUGAUUUGUGACGUUUUUCACGGAUUACAGUCUGAUGAUCUCUCGAUAAGCUCAUUUGCAUAUGUUUUCGAAGGAGUAUCUGUCAUUGACACAAUAGUAAUAUUUGCUGCUCACAUAAACGGUUGGUUUAAUUUUAAGAAGUUGAACGAUCUUUAUAAAAGUAUGAUGGAACUGAAUGAUGCGACUAGAAAUUUUGGCUCCAAGGAAAAUUAUAGUACAACUUUUAAAAGUCUGCUAGGAUGGAUAUUUGCCUUUUUAUGUUUAGGCUUCAUGACAGAAAUUUGUAUAUAUAAACAAUGGUAAUUGUUUGGAAUACAUUUUUCGGUGUUCUACUUUCCAACAGUUAUAGAUUUGAAUAUACACUCAAAUAUCAAAUUCAUUGCUAUUAAAAUCAAAUUCUUAAACAACUUGCUGAUAGAAAAGUUUGAGAAAAAUUCAAAUGGAUCAAUCUUACAUGAUCAGUUAGCAUCGCAAUGUCGGCAUAUUAUUAUGGAAUGUUUUAUUUAUUAUACUCUCUAAAUCUGAAUAUGUGUCACUUAUUCUGAGUGAAAUUUCACUUAUUAUAAGUGUAUAUGCACUUAUUGAUCGAGAAGACGAGUACAAAUAAUAUGUGAAUUUUCACAUAUUCAGAUUUAGAGAGUAUGCAUGUUUACUAAAAUUUAUUAAAAGCGCUUUAAGAUUUUUUCUCAUUGUCGCGCCAUGUUGUCAAAUCGAGAAGCAGAUGGAUGACUUACGCCAACGAUUAACACAAUUGCCAAUAAUUUUUUCAAUUUUUGGAUUUCAAAAAUUGGGAAUGGCAUUUAUAGAGAAGUUUGCAGUAACUUGCACUACAAUUUUUGGUUGCAUACAAUAUACUUAAAAAAGUGUAAAUGGAUUUUGAACUUAACGAUACUCUAUUUUGGUUGACUAGAAUAUAUGAUGGACAAAAAUAAUAGUGGUCGAGCAGGUGGAAGCAAAUUUUAAUUUUCACCAGGUGAAAAAUGAUAGGCAGAAAUGAUAAGAAAUUUUCUGUUUUCGUUUAUUCUUUUCUCAAAU